rnacentral:rRNA from 1 species
GACGAACGCUGGCGGCGUGCUUAACACAUGCAAGUCGAACGGAAAGGCCCUGCUUGCAGGGUACUCGAGUGGCGAACGGGUGAGUAGCACGUGGGUGAUCUGCCCCGCACUUCGGGAUAAGCUUGGGAAACUGGGUCUAAUACCGGAUAGGAACCAUCUUUAGUGUGGUGGUUGGAAAGUUUUUUCGGUGUAGGAUGAGCUCGCGGCCUAUCAGCUUGUUGGUGGGGUAAUGGCCUACCAAGGCGGCGACGGGUAGCCGGCCUGAGAGGGUGUACGGCCACAUUGGGACUGAGAUACGGCCCAGACUCCUACGGGAGGCAGCAGUGGGGAAUAUUGCACAAUGGGCGCAAGCCUGAUGCAGCGACGCCGCGUGGGGGAUGAAGGCCUUCGGGUUGUAAACUCCUUUCGCUAGGGACGAAGCUUUGUUGUGACGGUACCUAGAUAAGAAGCACCGGCUAACUACGUG